GACGAACGCUGGCGGCGUGCUUAACACAUGCAAGUCGAACGAAGUGGCGAUCGGGAGAGUAAUACGUGGGUACCCUGCCCUCCGUUUUGGGAUAAGGCUUGGAAACGUGGUCUAAUACCGAAUAAAGGGGGAUGGGCUGGGGGCCUAUCAGUGGGUUGGGGGGGUGAUGGCCUACCAGGGCGGUGAGGGUUAGCCGGCCUGAGAGGGACACCGGCCAAAUGAGGAGUGGCAUACUGCCCAGAGAGCAACGAGAGGCAGCAGUGCGGGAUAGGGCACAAGGGGCGAAAGGCUGAUGCAGGGACGAGGCGUGGGGGAUGAAGGCUUUCGGGUUGGAAACCUCAGUAGCGAUCGAACGGGUAGGUGGAGAAGAAGCGCCGGCUAACUACGUGCCAGCAGCCGCGGUAAUAC
rnacentral:rRNA from 1 species